rnacentral:tRNA from 6 species
GCCGUUGUAGCUCAGUCGGAAGAGCGUUUGCCUCCUAAGCGAAAGGUCGCAGGUUCGAUCCCUGCCAGCGGCGCCA